GACGUAGGGCGCGAGCGUUGUCCGGAUUUAUUGGGCGUAAAGAACUCGUAGGCGGCUCGUUGCGUCGGCUGUGAAAACCCGCAGCUCAACUGUGGGCUUGCAGCCGAUACGGGCGGGCUAGGAUUCGGUAGGGGAGACUGGAAUUCCUGGUGUAGCGGUGAAAUGCGCAGAUAUCAGGAGGAACACCGGUGGCGAAGGCGGGACUCUGGGCCGAUACUGACGCUGAGGAGCGAAAGCGUGGGGAGCGAACAGG
rnacentral:rRNA from 1 species